GAUGAAGAACGUAGCGAAAUGCGAUACUUGGUGUGAAUUGCAGAAUCCCGUGAACCAUCGAGUCUUUGAACGCAAGUUGCGCCCGAAGCCACUAGGCCGAGGGCACGCCUGCCUGGGCGUCACACGCCGUUGCCCCCCCAUCUACUCCAUCGGGAUUGCGGGGGGGCGGAUGAUGGCCUCCCGUGCGCCUAGCCGCGCGGUUGGCAUAAAUACCAAGUCCUCGGCGACGCACGCCACGUCAAUCGGUGGUUGCGAAACCGCGGUUGCCCGUCGUGUGCGUUCGUCGCGCAUCGAGGGCUCGAAAAAAUGCUCGGCUCCGGCUGGGCUUUCAACGCGACCCCAGGUCAGGCGGGGUUACCCGCUGAAUUUAAGCAUAUCAAUAAGCGGAGGA
rnacentral:misc_RNA from 1 species